UACAGAGGGGGCAAGCGUUGUUCGGAAUUACUGGGCGUAAAGGGCGCGUAGGCGGCCCGCUAAGUCGAACGUGAAAUCCCUGGGCUCAACCCAGGAACUGCGUCCGAUACUGGCAGGCUUGAAUCCGGGAGAGGGAUGCGGAAUUCCAGGUGUAGCGGUGAAAUGCGUAGAUAUCUGGAGGAACACCGGUGGCGAAGGCGGCGUCCUGGACCGGUAUUGACGCUGAGGCGCGAAAGCCAGGGGAGCAAACGGG
rnacentral:rRNA from 1 species